rnacentral:rRNA from 1 species
AGCAGUAGCCGCGGGAAUACGAAGGGUGCAAGCGUUAAUCGGAAUUACUGGGCGUAAAGCGUGCGUAGGCGGCUUUUUAAGUCGGAUGUGAAAUCCCUGAGCUUAACUUAGGAAUUGCAUUCGAUACUGGGAAGCUAGAGUAUGGGAGAGGAUGGUAGAAUUCCAGGUGUAGCGGUGAAAUGCGUAGAGAUCUGGAGGAAUACCGAUGGCGAAGGCAGCCAUCUGGCCUAAUACUGACGCUGAGGUACGAAAGCAUGGGGAGCAAACAGGAUUAGAUACCCGUGUAGUCCCUGUCUCUUAUAC